rnacentral:lncRNA from 1 species
CCAAUCCUUCAUUUCAGUUCUUUUCUCCUCAUUUUUUGUUACCAACUCAAUGAAACUCUUAAAGAUAAAACUAUUUUUAAAUUAUUAAAAAAAAUACCAAUUAAGCAUAUGGAAUGCAAAAAAAUUUAUAUUCGUAUUAGGAUAUGAAUAGCAAUUUAAGGGAUGUUUGGUUCGCAAUCGGAAUCAUAAUGGGAAUGAAAAUUGGAAAAGCUUGGAA